rnacentral:rRNA from 1 species
GACGAACGCUGGCGGCGUGCUUAACACAUGCAAGUCGAACGGAAAGGCCCUGCUUUUGUGGGGUGCUCGAGUGGCGAACGGGUGAGUAACACGUGAGUAACCUGCCCUUGACUUUGGGAUAACUUCAGGAAACUGGGGCUAAUACCGGAUAGGAGCUCCUGCUGCAUGGUGGGGGUUGGAAAGUUUCGGCGGUUGGGGAUGGACUCGCGGCUUAUCAGCUUGUUGGUGGGGUAGUGGCUUACCAAGGCUUUGACGGGUAGCCGGCCUGAGAGGGUGACCGGCCACAUUGGGACUGAGAUACGGCCCAGACUCCUACGGGAGGCAGCAGUGGGGAAUAUUGCACAAUGGGCGGAAGCCUGAUGCAGCAACGCCGCGUGCGGGAUGACGGCCUUCGGGUUGUAAACCGCUUUCGCCUGUGACGAAGCGUGAGUGACGGUAAUGGGUAAAGAAGCACCGGCUAACUACGUGCCAGCAGCCGCGGUGAUACGUAGGGUGCGAGCGUUGUCCGGAUUUAUUGGGCGUAAAGGGCUCGUAGGUGGUUGAUCGCGUCGGAAGUGUAAUCUUGGGGCUUAACCCUGAGCGUGCUUUCGAUACGGGUUGACUUGAGGAAGGUAGGGGAGAAUGGAAUUCCUGGUGGAGCGGUGGAAUGCGCAGAUAUCAGGAGGAACACCAGUGGCGAAGGCGGUUCUCUGGGCCUUUCCUGACGCUGAGGAGCGGAAGCGUGGGGAGCGAACAGGCUUAGAUACCCUGGUAGUCCACGCUGUAAACGGUGGGUACUAGGUGUGGGGUCCAUUCCACGGGUUCCGUGCCGUAGCUAACGCUUUAAGUACCCCGCCUGGGGAGUACGGCCGCAAGGCUAAAACUCAAAGGAAUUGACGGGGCCCCGCACAAGCGGCGGAGCAUGCGGAUUAAUUCGAUGCAACGCGUAGAACCUUACCUGGGUUUGACAUGGAUCGGGAGUGCUCAGAGAUGGGUGUGCCUCUUUUGGGGUCGGUUCACAGGUGGUGCAUGCCUGUCGUCAGCUCGUGUCGUGAGAUGUUGGGUUAAGUCCCGCAACGAGCGCAACCCUUGUUCACUGUUGCCAGCACGUUAUGGUGGGGACUCAGUGGAGACCGCCGGGGUCAACUCGGAGGAAGGUGGGGAUGACGUCAAGUCCUCAUGCCCCUUAUGUCCAGGGCUUCACGCAUGCUACAAUGGCUGGUACAGAGAGUGGCGAGCCUGUGAGGGUGAGCGAAUCUCGGAAAGCCGGUCUCAGUUCGGAUUGGGGUCUGCAACUCGACCUCAUGAAGUCGGAGUCGCUAGUAAUCGCAGAUCAGCAACGCUGCGGUGAAUCGUUCCCGGG